UACGUAGGGUGCAAGCGUUAAUCGGAAUUACUGGGCGUAAAGCGUGCGCAGGCGGUUUUGUAAGUCAGAUGUGAAAUCCCCGGGCUCAACCUGGGAAUUGCAUUUGAGACUGCACGGCUAGAGUGUGUCAGAGGGGGGUAGAAUUCCACGUGUAGCAGUGAAAUGCGUAGAGAUGUGGAGGAAUACCGAUGGCGAAGGCAGCCCCCUGGGAUAACACUGACGCUCAUGUGCGAAAGCGUGGGGAGCAAACAGG
rnacentral:rRNA from 1 species